UGGGGAAUAUUGGACAAUGGGCGAAAGCCUGAUCCAGCAAUGCCGCGUGAGUGAUGAAGGCCUUAGGGUUGUAAAGCUCUUUUACCCGGGAAGAUAAUGACUGUACCGGGAGAAUAAGCCCCGGCUAACUCCGUGCCAGCAGCCGCGGUAAUACGGAGGGGGCUAGCGUUGUUCGGAAUUACUGGGCGUAAAGCGCACGUAGGCGGCUUUGUAAGUUAGAGGUGAAAGCCUGGGGCUCAACUCCAGAAUAGCCUUUAAGACUGCAUCGCUUGAACGUCGGAGAGGUGAGUGGAAUUCCGAGUGUAGAGGUGAAAUUCGUAGAUAUUCGGAAGAACACCAGUGGCGAAGGCGGCUCACUGGACGACUGUUGACGCUGAGGUGCGAAAGCGUGGGGAGCAAACA
rnacentral:rRNA from 1 species